AUGCUGGUGAGACGAGACCCACCUCCACCUGGCAUGCAGGAAAUAUGCAUUGAAAAGGCUCCAGGAGAAAAAUUGGGCAUCAGCAUCCGGGGUGGAGCAAAAGGUCAUGCUGGGAAUCCCUUUGAUCCCACUGAUGAAGGCAUCUUCAUUUCUAAGGUGAGCUCCUCGGGGGCUGCUGCGCGGGACGGGCGCCUGAAGG